rnacentral:rRNA from 1 species
UACGUAGGGGGCAAGCGUUGUCCGGAUUUAUUGGGCGUAAAGAGCGUGUAGGCGGCUUUGCAAGUCCGUUGUGAAAACUCGAGGCUCAACCUCGAGACGCCGGUGGAAACUGCAAAGCUAGAGUCCGGAAGAGGAGAGUGGAAUUCCUGGUGUAGCGGUGAAAUGCGCAGAUAUCAGGAAGAACGCCCGUGGCGAAGGCGGCUCUCUGGGACGGUACUGACGCUGAGACGCGAAAGCGUGGGGAGCGAACAGG